GGGGUUGUGGCUCAGUGGUAGAGCACUCUCAUAGCAUGGGAGAGGUACUGGGUUCGAUCCUCAGCACCACA
rnacentral:tRNA from 1 species